rnacentral:tRNA from 1 species
GGGGAUGUAGCUCAGUUGGUAGAGCAUAUGCUUUGCACGCAUAGGGUCGCGGGUUCGAACCCUGUCUUCUCCA